UCUUUCAGAUGUCUUCAAACAAUGCUGCUUCUGGCUCUAACCCUAAUAGCUCCUUUACCCUUAUGAACUUGUGUGGGAAAGUCACUUUUGAUGGAUCCAACUUCAAUGAGUGGAUCAGAAACAUCAGGAUGAUUACCCGCUACGAGGAGAAAGAAUAUGUCCUCGACAAGGAGCUUAAGGAGAUUGAUGAGACCAAUGCAACUCCCCAGGAGAUCGCUGACUUUCAGGCACAUGAAAGGGAUGCUACCAAAGUGGCAUGCAUCAUGAUGGCCACGAUGACAGCGGAACUCCAAAAGUCCUAUGGGGACCUCUACCCUUUUGAAAUGAACCAAGAUCUAAUGGAAAGAUACCAUCAAAGUGCACAACAAGAGAGGUAUGGAAUCAUCUGCUCCAUGAUAACAACCAAGAUGAAGGACUGGGAAUCCUUCACGAGCCACAUGCAGAAAAUGCAAAGGUAUGUGGAUCGUUUGCUGAAGCUUAAUGUGAACUUCCCUGAGGAGCUUGCAAUAGGUCUUAAGGGGAAGUCGGUUGUUAACACUCCUACUCCAAACUCCGCUCUGGUUUUGGCAAUCGGGAAAAGUCGAGGGAAGAAGAGAAAGAGCUCUUCGAAGGGUACCAAGGCUAGGACCCUUGAUGGCUCUUCUUCAAGUGGAACCAAGAAAGGUUUCGUCACUCCUUCUUCUGACCCAAAAGAGGCUGAAUGCUUCUAUUGCCAUGAAAAAUCACAUUGGAAGCGGAACUGCCCAAAAUACCAGCAAGAUGUGAAGGAUGGGAAAGUUAAACCCAACCAAGCAUGUAUUUACACUAUCUUAUCUAAUAACUCACCCCAUUCUAACUCUUGGGUCCUUGAUACCGGUUGUGGUAUUCAUAUCUGUUCUGAUUUGUAGGGACUAAUAAGAAGUGAGAAUGUGGAGCAAGGAAGAAUAAACUUAAUCAUGGGGAAUAGGAAAGCUUUACCUGUCACCAAGAUUGGAGUUUACUCUUUAUCGCUAAGUAGUGGGUUUAGUUUAAAUUUGAAUAAGUGUUGUUGUUUGCCAGAAAUGGGAAGAAAUAUUAUUUCCCUUCAUGCAUUGUAUAAACAAGGUUUCACCUUUUCAUUUGAUAAUGAAGUUGGUUCUAUUAAUGCUUUCUUUAAUAAUGUUCUUUAUUUUAAAGCAUUACCUUGUGAUGGCAUGUAUGAAAUAGUAUCUGUGGUUGAUAACUCAGGAAAUAAUGCAUUGUGUAUUGAUUCUGUUGAUAAUAACUUGGAUAAAGCAUCAUAAUGGCAUUGUCGUCUUGGACAUAUAAGCGAGAAACGCAUAGGCCAAAUCCAAAAGGAUGGAGUCUUGGAGUCAUUUGACUUGAAGUCAGAUGAUAGUUGCGAAUCAUGCUUACCUGGAAAAAUAACAAAGUCACCCUUCACAGGUUCGUGUGAGAGGGGUGAAGGUUUGUUGGACCUUGUACACACGGAUGUGUGUGGACCAUUCAAACAUGCCACAAGGGAUGCUAAUCGUUAUUAUUUGACUUUUACUGAUGAUUACAGUAGAUAUGGAUAUGUCUACUUGAUCAAGCAUAAGUCAGAGACUUUCGAAAGGUUUAAGGAAUUUAAACAGGAAGUCGAGAAUCAAUUGGGCAGGAACAUUAAGAUGCUUCGAUCCGAUCGUGGUGGUGAGUAUCUUAGUUCAGAGUUCCUCGACUAUCUUAGGGAAUGUGGGAUAGUCUCACAAUUGACACCUCCCAGGACACCACAGUUGAAUGGUGUGGCUGAGAGGCGUAAUCGAACCUUGUUGGAUAUGGUUCGUUCCAUGAUGAGUCGAGCUUCGCUACCAAUCUCAUUCUGGGGGUAUGCCUUAGAGACUGCCGCCCAUAUCCUUAAUCUAGUCCCUACAAAGAAAGUUGCCAAAACUCCUCACGAGAUGUGGACUGGUAAAGUACCUAAACUAGACCACAUCAAGAUUUGGGGUUGCGAGGCUUUCGUGAGACGCGAGACUCAUGAUAAGCUCGAACCUCGAAGCGAGAGGUGUAUUUUCAUCGGUUACCCACAGCGAUCCUUUGGUUACCUCUUCUACAGACCUAGUGACAAUGUGGUCUUUGUAGCAAGAAGAGGAGUCUUUCGAGAAAGAGAGUUUAUAAGCCAAGGAGACAGUGGGAGGCAAAUUGAUCUUGAAGAAAUUCAAGAAUCAAGCGGUGAAGGAACUUCAAACUCUAGCCCUCAACUUGAGGAGGAAACUCCUGUUGAGCCAAUUGACAAAUCUGUACCUCUGAGACGUUCCACGAGAGUUAGGAGUGCACCUGAGCAUUACUAUGGAUUCCAUAUUACUGCAGAAGGUGAGACACUUAUUAGUGAUGAGACACUAGUAAGUCAAGAUGACCCUAACAGCUACGAGGAAGCCAUGGCAGGCCCCGAGUCUGCUAAAUGGAAAGAGGCUAUGGAUAGCGAGAUACAAUCCAUGUAUGACAAUCAAGUUUGGAACUUGGUUGAAAAUGUACCAGGUCGUAAGACAGUAGGGUGCAAAUGGGUCUUCAAGAAGAAGACCGACAUGGAUGGUAAAGUACACACUUAUAAGGCUAGACUGGUUGCAAAGGGCUUCUCUCAAAUUCCUGGAGUGGAUUAUGAUGAGACCUUUUCUCCGGUAGCCAAGAUUAAGUCUAUUCGGGUUCUGUUAGCCAUAGCUGCAUUUCAUGACUAUGAAAUAUGGCAGAUGGAUGUCAAAACCGCUUUCCUUAAUGGAAAGUUGGCUGAAGAUGUUUACAUGAGUCAGCCAGAGGGUUUUGUCAGCAACGAGUACCCUAAUAGAGUGUGUAAGCUUGAGAAAUCCAUUUAUGGAUUGAAGCAAGCACCUCGCAGAUGGAAUCUUUGCUUUGAUGAAAAGGUCAAGGAAUUUGGCUUUUCUAGGAGUGAAGAUGAAUCUUGUGUGUAUGUCAAGGCUAGUGGGAGUAUAGUUAGCUUUUUGGUAUUGUAUGUGGAUGACAUACUACUCAUAGGAAACGACAUUCCAACCCUGCAGGAAGUAAAGUCCUGGCUUGGGAAGUGUUUCGCUAUGAAGGACCUUGGUGAAGCUGCCUAUAUUCUAGGGAUAAGAAUCUUGAGAGAUCGGAGUAAAAGACUAAUUGGACUUAGUCAGAGUACCUACUUGGAUAAGGUGCUGAAGAGAUUCAGCAUGCAGGAUUCCAAGAAAGGAGAGUUACCCAUCCAGAGUAACACCAGAUUGAGUAAGACACAAAGCCCUAGCACUGAGGCUGAGAUAGCAGAAAUGAGUCGAACACCUUACGCUUCGGCUGUAGGAUCGAUCAUGUAUGCUAUGACGUGUACUCGACCCGAUGUAGCUUUUGCCUUGAGCAUGGUUAGCAGGUAUCAGGCGAACCCUGGCAAGGCACACUGGACUGCGGUAAAGAAUAUCCUCAAGUACCUACGGAGGACUAAGGACUGGGUCCUUACCCUCGGUGGGAGUGAUGACUUGAGAGUUGUAGGGUAUAGUGAUGCUAGCUUCCAGACUGAUAGGGAUAAUUUCCGCUCUCAGUCGGGCUGGGUCUUUACCCUAAACGGAGGAGCAAUUUCUUGGAAGAGUUCCAAGCAAGAGACAGUGGCAGAUUCUACUUGUGAAUCAGAGUAUAUUGCAGCUAGCGAAGCAGCAAAGGAGGCGAUAUGGCUGAAGAACUUCAUUGGAGACCUUGGAGUUGUACCAGCUAUUAAAGAGCCAAUGGAAAUUUUCUGUGAUAGUGAAAGUGCUGUUGCCUUAGCCAAGGAACCAAGGGAUCAUGGGAGAUCCAGACACAUCGACAGAAAAUACCAUUUCAUUAGACAUCGGAUCGAAGAAGGACUCCUCGUGGCAAAGAGGGUAUCAUCGGAUGAGAACCCAGCAGAUCCCCUCACGAAGGGACUGAGUAGGGUUAAGCAUCUCCAGCAUGCUCGGAGCAUAGGGCUGAAGGAUGAUAUAAGUUUUAGUAGUUAGAUAACCCAGAAAUUUGUAAAGUGUAAUUGACAUUUGAUGAUGAAUAAAAGGUGUUUUAUUUAUGAGUAAAGUGUUGCUAUCUCUUGUCAAUCGUUUACUAUAUUUCUUUUGCAUGUUUUGACUUCCAGAAUAAUUUUGUUUGGUGUAACAUAUUAUUCAAACCUCCACAGUCGGUCAUAUGUCGGAAGUAGGUAUGAAUCAAGACUGUCAUGAUGGGUUGUAGAGGUCUAAGGUGUUGGACAAGGCUACAACAAUCAUGAGUGCUCAUAAGUUCUGAGCAUUGGACUCAACCCACGCUCACUGGAAUCACUUCAUGGAAUUCUAUCUCGAGUGAUCGUGAGACGGUAAUAUCAUAUAAGUCUUCAAACCUAGAGAUAUGAUUUGUUACUUACAAGUUGGUUAUGCAUUGACUGUACGAAACCGCAUUGGUAACUCGAUGUUAUAAAACGUACUUUUGUGUGUAAUUCAAUGAGUGGUAGAACAAACAUAUGAGUCGAAGUUUAUCUGUUCCUUCUUGGAUUAGAAGCUGAUAUCUGGGCCCCUCGAUGAUUUUGUUUUGACCCAUGUACCGGGCCCGGUCAGAACUAAGUUGAUGUGUUCAAUUAAGUUCUAUGUCAAACAAAUCGGAAAUCGGGAAACAAAUGCUGGACAAUAAGCAAGACAAUGUUCCAUGUAUUUGUCCGGCUGAUAUCUAGAACGGAGGAUUAUAUGAUCACUUAUCUUAAAUGGCGUACCAUCAUCUUCUCAGUUCCGAGAGACCUUGAAAGAGCUACGAUUGCCGGUCGGUUCCUGAAGUACUAGAGAUAUAGUUAUUAGACUUAUCCAAGUGGGAGACUGUUGGAUAAGGUGUCUAAGUCCAUAACUAUUUCUGGUAAGUACUUGACCCGACCCGGCAUGGUCCAUUUGGGUUGCAUGGCACCAUGCAAUUGGAUAGACUAAAUGAGAGAAAUAACACUUGGAGAUUAUUAAUAUAUUAUAAGUUCUAAUAUAUUAAUAAUAUUAUUUGAUUAAUUUGAUCAAGAAUUAAUUUAGAAUUAAUUAAGGGAUCAUAAGAUAACUAACUAAAUAUAUGGGUUGAUUAUGUAAAUCAUCCAUAUCUUGUAUAGUGGACUAAGAAGCUCCAUGGAUUAUCAAGUUGGGUUCCACCCAUAGGAUGCUCCAUGGAUGCUCCAUGGGAGUUACAAACCCAUGGGUCAUGGAAAUGAAGAGUCAUGACACAUUAGGGUUUACAUGGUGUAACCCGAGCUGUGUCAACACUAUAUAAGAGUCCCAUUCUCCACCAAAAUCGGCUACACAUGAAACAAGAGGGCUAGGCCAAUUUUAAGAAGUGUGUGUUCUCUCAAAAGUCUUUCCAAGAGCAUUUGGUGUUGUGUGAAGCAUUUGAGGCAUCACACUUGGGGUUCUAGGCUCACAAGGUUUCAAGGAACAUAAGCAACAACAAGGUAAGUUAUUCUAUCUUUGAUUCAAGUUAAAAUUGUUCCCCAUGUAUGCUAGAUAGGAAUAUAACCUUGGAAUUCAACUUUGCAUGAUAAUUAGACAAUCAUAGAUCCAAGGUUAUUAGGGUUGCAUGUACACUUAAGAAGUGUUAGAAUGCUCAAAACCCGUCAACUACUUCAUGGCAUGGCAAUAUACUACUGUGUCACGUUUUGUAACCAGAGUCUCCUAGAGGGAGAUCGUGAGUUUGUGUAGAGAUCUAUACGGGUUGACCAUCCUACACCUUGCUGCUAGCUACAGUGCGACCUGCAGGUGUACGGGUGAUGAAUGUCAUACCAUUUCGAUGUCUUCGAAUGUCGUGUUUACUAGUCAAUCAAGUAUGGUUAUAAUCUCAUCACAUUUGCCUUAAUUAAACAAUUGGUUUAAGGUAGUUAGUACAUCUGUAGUUACUAUAUACAAUACUACUAUACAUCAUCAUUUUCCCAUUACAUUCAUAUAGCGAUCUUCUCACAUAAACGGUAAUGUAAACUAUUUCUGAUAAAGAUAGUCAUAUACUUGGGAAGACACUCACUUUUACAAAAGAACAAACAUACAAAACAUUCAGGUCUUGGUAGAAGACUACUCUCCUUUUUAGUAGAAAAUAUAGGAUUUUCUAGGAAGUAUACAAACAUUUACAUCAAAAACUUACAAACUUUACAUCAAACACUUACAAACACUUUCAUCAAACUUAUGCAAACAUUUGACACUAAAAUACUUAUGAACUCACCAGCUUAAAUGUUGAUCUACUCUUUCAAAAUAACUUGUAUUCUCAGUUCACCAGUAGAAAGGUACCAAUGACCAUGUUUUGAGAAGACGGAGUAUGUUCAAGACUCGUCUUAUAUUUUGAUUCAUAUUUUGGUGUCUUUCACACUACAUACAGAACACAAUUGUAUUAAAUUAUAUUAUUAAUGCAAUGGAUGAUGUUGUUGCUUGUUUUACUAUAGUGCACUGUUAUGAUACUGUACAUGACGUCCUCCGCCCCCGAACGUUUCCGCCGUUCUGUUUUGGGGGUGUGACAUGUAACCUACUAUUACCGGGUAUUGAGCACUUAAUAGCCAUGCAAGAUCAUAAAGUUGGAAACGUUAUGAUUAAGGACAUCAUCUGUGGACUAGAUAUGGCUUUUGGACAAAAUAGCUUAAGGGAUUAAGCUCUUAAUAGAAGGAAAAAGACGUAGAUUCGUACGUUAGGGGUACCUGUUGGGACGUCGUGCGUACUGUUGGGUUUUAUGUACUUUAACACUCCUAUGGUGCACAUACAACCCUAAUGCUUUAGAUCUAUGUUUUCUUUAGUUAUACAUGCAACAAAAUUAUCCAAAGCAUGAAACCUAUCUAACAUACAAAUUUGGUACAUGAAUCAUAAAACUAUUUAGAAGAAUACCUCUUAUUUGUAGCUUGUAGUUGUUGGCCUUUCAAGAGCUUAGCACCUCAAGUGUGAUGCCUCAAACAAGUCACAAACACCAUGAACAAAUGGAGGACUUUGAGAGAGAGGCUAGAACCACCAAAAUUGGCUAGGCAUUCACCUUAGGAGUCUUAGGGCCUAUUUUAGCAAGCUAGGGGUUCAUUUUAUAGUUUGGAAUUCCUAGGGUUUCAACUUGUAAACCCUAAUUUACUUGGGCUUUUAAUCCAAUAACUCAUUAGCCUUUUGGACCAACUUUUCAUGGACUCUCACAAAGAUUUAGUCCAAUCCUAAUCAACAUGGAUCUUUAGCCCAAACCAUAAGUAUUAUUGAUUUACCUAAUCAGUCCCCGUAAAUUUAAAUAGUCUCUUUUAAUCACUAAAUUAAUUCCAAAUUAGUUCUUUAUAAAUUUAAUCUAUAGUUCUUAUAAUAUAUUAAUAAAUCACAAAUAACCUCUUUCUCAAAUAUCCAUCCUAUCAAAUUGUUCUGGUGAAGCCAACCCGAAAUGGACCAUACUACUCUCCGGUCAAGUACAUACCAAUUAUAGUUAUGAGCUUAGACACUUAAUCCAACACGUACAAGGUCAACAACCCUAUUUUUAGUCAACACCCUAGUACGCUGUGCGUACAAGCUGAUUACACUUGGCAUACUUAGCUAAGUUGACUCAUUUGACUUCUUUGACUUUUGACUUUGACCAUAUUUUGACCUAGUGUGACCUAGGGGUAUUUUGAACUAUAGACUGAGAUUUGGUCACUAUUUGUUGAAAAGGUGACUGGUAGAGUUCGUACUCAGAGCAGCGUGUUAUUAAGCUAUUUCGUCAGAAUGUGAGGUGAGUUUUCCUCACUAUACUUGUUGGGUCGAAGGCACCAAUGCCGACCCACUGGAUUAUGUAUCCUGCUAUAUAUGAUGUUGUUAUAUUGUAUUGGUCUGUAUAUUUGCUUGGUUAUCUGUGUGGUGGAUAUAGGAUUAUCUGUUAUGUAUAUGUUGACAUUGUAUGGUUGAGUUGAGGCAAUCCUACUUUGUACAUAAACCAACUAACCUGGGAGAAAGCAAGACAUAAUUUGUGGGCCUUAAAGGUAACCCAGACUUAUGUUGUGGGCUCGAGAGUAAGCCAGUCAUGAGAUGUGGGCCGGAAAGCAAGCAAUAUUCAUGUUGUGGACUCAAGGGUUAUAUAGUUUGUUAGUUGUGGACCCGGUAUGCACGUUGUUAUAUGUUGAUUUAUGAUCAUUACUUUUGGAACAAUGUUUUGUAAACAAUUAUAGUCUUUGGGUUGUCUUUGAAAAAAUGAAAAUUUUACUCUCAUUUUUGGGAUUUUACAUAGAAGUACGAAUAUUUGUUUUUAUGUCUGUAUAAGUGUAUACAUAUAUUUUUAGAAGUGCAAAUACAUACUUUUAUACUUUUUUUUAAAGUAUGAAUAUAUUAUAAAUACGUAUUUAGAAGUAUNNNNNNNNNNNNNNNNNNNNNNNNNNNNNNNNNNNNNNNNNNNNNNNNNNNNNNNNNNNNNNNNNNNNNNNNNNNNNNNNNNNNNNNNNNNNNNNNNNNNNNNNNNNNNNNNNNNNNNNNNNNNNNNNNNNNNNNNNNNNNNNNNNNNNNNNNNNNNNNUUUCUUCAAGUAUACAUAUAAUAAGAAAAAUAAUAUAUAUUUAGGGUAAAAGCAUAAAAAAAAUUAUAAACUUAAGGUUAAAUAUGUAAAAAAAAACUGCAAGUACGACUUCAAAACCUGACUAGCAUUCGGAAUGGAUAAACUUUGAACAAAUAAAAUCAGUCCAGGCUUGGCCAAGUGUUUAGGGUUGUCAUCACUAAAUCAUCAAGGGGCCCAUCAUCAAAUUCUCAGGGUAAAGGAAUGGAUAAACUUUGACUCAUAUUCUUGCUCUAUUUACUCAUCAAAUCACACACAACGAUACGUUUUAUAACACCAAGUUACUGGUGCGUUUACCCAUCAUCAAUGUGCAACCAACUUGAAAACUACAACUCAUAUAUCUCUGUUUCAAGAAUAUAAGAUAUUAUCAUCUCAUAAUCACUCAUGAUAAAAUCCAUAAAGUGAUUCAGAUGAGAGUGGGUUUAAUCCAAUACUCAAAUAUUUUUACAUGAGUACUCAUGAAUACUGCAACAAACUUGUGCUAUGUCUAACACUCAGACAAUCUACAGACGGAUUCAUGAUAGUCUUCCCUCAAUACCUACUUCCAAAGUAUGAUCGACUGUGGAUGGUUUGAAUAAUCUUAUCAUUCGGGAAGUCAAAACAUGCGAAAUUAAACACAAUAAUAAUCGAAUCCAAUAUGGUCUCAGAACUUUUGAAUAUAAAUAAAACACCUUUUAUUUAAUCACCAUAUCGAUUACACAUUAUUCAUUGUAUAAUGUUUUGACUGAUCAAAUUAAUACUUAAAUUAAAACAAUAGUCAUCCCAUGCUCCAAGCAUGCACACUAUAUUUACCUAUGGUCCUUACUUUGUGAAAUAGAUCAAUGGUAAACAUUUCCAAUGACACUCAUUUCACAAUUCCAAAUCCUUAUCGCAAGUGUAAGAAUACCAAGUCCUUGCCACUUACUGUAAUAUGUUAGAUUCUAAGCUUAUAUGAACUGAUCCUUUUGUAAUGACUAUAUACACAAUUAUAGAGGCUUUGCCAAUUACAAAACUUUCCGUUGGAGAUUGUUACAAAAAAAGUUCCAUAGAUACGAAGUCUCAUAUUCAAAGCACAUUCCUUUGAACAUCCUUCUUGUAUAAAAGUUUCUAACUUACUCAUAGAUUCUUGGUAUCCAACUCCUAUUAUGGAAACAUUUCCAUAUAUGCCAUAUAACAAUUCAUUAUAAAUAGCAUCAUGUCUAUUCAUAAUAAUGUCAACAUGGUCCAUCCAUUACUAUACUUCCAACUGCCCACAAGUGACCAACCCUUAGCGAAACUUGGAUUGUCCUUAACAAUUGUUAAAUAACUUUCAGACAUAUCCAAUUCUGGUCCCUUUUCCCUCUCAAUGCCCUAGGCAUUUGGAAAAUUAGAACAUGUGAAUAUUAUAGCUUAUGCAAUCUAUCCUAUACCCGAAGCAUAUGGAACAUGAUUCACAAUGACUUACAUAAAAACAUGAUACAUGACCAGUCUUUUGCUAUAAUAUUUCCAUAUAUAGAAUUUCCAAUGUUGAAAUAUUUCAACAUGGUAUUCAUAUAUCCAUGACCAAGUUUGAUUAAUACUUCAAUCUAAACUUUUAGAUUCGAAAUAAAGUAUAAGUAUCCUCACCCUUACUAUAGCGAAACAACUUUUCAAAUUAUUUUUCUUAACUUUGCAAAUUCUUAACCUUUGUUUCCCAUAACCAGUAUCGCUAACUUGCAACACUUCACAUAAUAAUCCUGCUCCGACUAUCAUGAUAAUUAUAUUCUUACUAGCAUAACACUUAUGCUCCCACUAGCUUUGACAUGUAUCCAAAAUCAGCUGGACUUCUAGAAAUGAAUACUUUAUUAACUUUCUUACCAAAGUUCAGAUUUAUGAUACGACAUGCUUCGAUAAGCCAUUAUCUAAGCUCAUACACUUUUUAUUAGAAAGGCCAUAUGUAUGUCUAAACUAUUUCAGAACUUACAACAAUAAGUUCCGAAUGUUCAAACUAUUUGCCAUUUCUCACAAUUCGAACUAUGAAGAUGGAUGUUCUAAUCUUAAUCGAAUUUGAGAACGCAAUUAACACAACUGCUAUCUCCUUAAAAUCUACUUAGUGAAAGUGUUUCCUCACAAUAAUUUUCAUGAAUUGAAGAGGGAACUUAUGUCACUUAGAUUUUAUGGUGUAUGUGUUCCUAUCCAUAUGAAUUUGUUAUUUCCAACCAUUAUCAUAGGAUAAGGUCACUGACAAACUCAACCUUAUAUGGACUGAACUUGUUCAAUCUUAAUUUCUUGCCACUUGGCAGCACAAGGGCCUACCAUGUCUUCCAUGUUGUUAAGCAGCUUACCCUUACUGAUUGAUGAACUUUCACUGAUCAAGGUUCUUUGCCUUAUGCGAAGCGUACUAAGCAAAGUCGCAUCCCGAUUGUGAAAGUACGGUGGAACGCGAAGCGUGGGCCAGAAUUCACAUGGGAACGCGAAGACCAAAUGAAGCAAAAGUACCCUCACCUAUUCUAGCAUUCUCAAAUCUAGCUUUCAAACAGAAUUUCAGGACGAAAUUCCCUCUAACGGGGGGAUGAUGUCACAACUAGAAUUUUUGUGUCUUGUAAUCACUACACUCAAGUAAAAUGUAGAAUCAAAAACUUAAGAGCAUGUAUGAUGCUUACUCUAUGACAACAAAAAUUUCAAUUCAAUACACCAUAUAAGUACUACAAAUAGUCAACAAACGAUUGGAAACCCUAGAAGUUCUUGUUUAGGUCCAUUUUGGACUAGGACUUUCUUAUUGGACUCAAUGGACCAAUAAGCUUCCAAUUUGACUAUCAUGGGCUUAGAACCUUUAAAUGGGCUCUAAUUGGACCCACUUUCAUUUAUUUCAACAUUUUGGGCCAUAUUGGGCCUAGAAUGGAAUAAAUUAAAUAUUAUGAACCAUUAUGAACCAUAAUUAACCAAAACUAGCCUAACAAAGUAUAAAAAUCACACUUAUAUUUUAUAGGACCAACAAUCAUUCAACUUAACUCUUAUAUGGGCUUAGGGGCAAUAAAGCCCAAAAAUCUCUUCUCCCCUCUCCAAUCUCGGCCCAAGCCCAAAGAAAAGGAAGAGUUGACCUUUGUUGCCACCUCACAAUUAUUCAAGGGUCUUCCAUGCAUCUUAUCCCAUAUAUCCAUGCAUACAUCACUUCAAGAUCUCUCUUCUUCUCCCUCUCUCUCAUUCUCGGCCGAACACACACACAUACACUCACAAAAAUUCANUUUUCAAAACAAUACUAGGGUUUUAGAAUUUAACAUUCCUAAAUUAAACUUUUAAUCAACUUUUAAAUUCCAAAACUUGAGGGCAAGUUUUGAAACAUUUCAAAACAUUAGGGUUUAGAAUUUAAAUAUUUCAAAAUCAAACUUUUCAAUCAAAAUUUAAAUUCCAAAACUUGAGGGCAAGUUUUGAAACCUUUUUCAAAACAUUAGGGUUUCAACUAUUUAAAUUCUAAACUUUUAAGUUCUAAUUUAAACUAUAAAACCUAAAGGGAUUAAUUUGAAACUUUUCCAAACUUUGUCAAGAAUAUUCUAGAUCACAUAAUUCAAAUAAGGCAAUUAACUAUAAUUGGUGGUUAUCUAAUUAGAUCUAGUUCAAAUUCUUGCAAGAUAAUGAUCAAAUAAUUUCCAUAACUUAACAUUUAUCAAAUAAGGUAACAAUUAUCUAAUUAGAUGACCAAAAUCUUUUAUUUUGACAAGGAUAAUCAUAAGGAAUCAAUAAAAUUUGAAUUUUAUUGAUUUUAAACAAUUAUGGCAAUUAUCCUAAGUCAAAAUAGACAAAAAUCCCGAACCAGCCUCCUUCUGACGCUUGAACUAGCCGAGUUCCUCUAUGGACUUGCCGAGUUGGAGCUACUCGCCGAGUCCACAUUGGAACUCGCCGAGUUCAUCAGACAGGGGGCCAAAAAAUCGAUUUUAUAGCUUGAACACACAAACAAGGCAUCAAUACAAUAGAAACCAAUCAAGGCUCUGAUACCACUGAUGGGUUUUGGUCAUAAGAACAUCCUAUGUGCUCAUACAAACCCUAAUGCUUGGAUCUAGGUUUCUCUAUUGUACAUGCAAUUUAUCCAAGACUAUAAACCCUAGAUCUAGCAUAUGAUAAUCAAUAUAACAUAUAAUUAGGGUUUAGAUCAUACCUUGAUUGUUAUGUAGCAAUAACAAUCCCAAAUCCUUCUUGUAUUGACUUUAGAAAGCUUAGAGUCACAAAUGUCACUCCUCUAAUGGUUCACAAACACCAAGAGCAAGAGGAUGAAGAGGAGAAGAGAAGGAGGCUGCCCAAAACAUGUGGAAACCCUAGAAGGAAGCUUGUCCACGUUGUUGGGGCAUAAGGGCUCUUUAAAUAGUGAGGCUAUUAGGGUUAUCUAACAAGGAAACCCUAAUUUGGAUGCUUAAGCCCUAAGCAACCCAUGGACUCCUUUCCUUAAAGGCCUUGGACGAUUUCUAAUGGGUUUCCCCAUAGAAUUCGUCCAACCUUAUAAUAUAAGGCAAUCCAUGGCCCAAUUGCAAUUAUCUUAUAAUUACAAUUCCAGUCCCUUAAGUUUAAUUAAUCUCUUUUAGUCACAAACUUAAUUCUUAUUAAUUCUUGACUAAUAUUAAUUAAACAAUAUGAUUUCUCCUUUAAUAUAUUAUUCUCAUAAUAUAUUAAUAAAUUAUAUUGAAUCCUUUCUCUCCAUAAUUCAUCCUAUUAAGUUGCUUUGGUGAAGGCAACCCAAAAUGACCAUGCACCAACAGGUCAAGUACAUACAAAAAUAGUUAUGGACUUAGACACUAAUCCAAUAGUUGUCGGGUGUGCCUCUGGAGAGGCAGGUAGAGUUCGGUAUUGAUUUGGUUCCGGGAGUUGCGCCUAUCGCCAAGGCACCUUAUCGCCUUGCGCCUUCGUAGAUGCAAGUGUUAUCCUCGCAGCUCCAGGAGCUGCUGGGGAAGGGGUUUAUCAGGCCGAGCAGUUCGCCAUGGAGGCGCCCAUUAUUUUUGUCAAAAAGAAGGACGGUUCGCACCGGAUGUGCAUUGAUUAUCGUGAGUUGAAUAAGCUAACGGUCAAGAACCGUUACCCAUUGCCGAGGAUCGAUGAUUUGUUCGAUCAGUUGCAGGGAGCAUCUUGGUUCUCCAAGAACGAUUUGAGGUCUGGGUAUCAUCAGUUGAGGGUGCGGGAGGAGGACGUCUCGAAGACAACAUUCCGGACUCGUUAUGGGCAUUACACCAACGCACCGACGGUGUUCAUGGAUCUCAUGAACAGGGUGUGCAGACCGAUGUUGGAUCGCUCGGUGAUCGUGUUCAUCGACGACAUUUUGGUGUAUUCGAGAUCUAGAGAGCAGCAUGAGGAGCAUUUGAGGGAGAUCCUCGGAGUUCUGAGAUCGAAGAGGCUUUAUGCCAAGUUCUCCAAAUGUGAGUUCUGGCUACGAGAGGUCUAGUUUUUGGGGCAUCUCAUUAACCAGAAAGGGAUAUUGGUCGAUCCGGCCAAGAUUGAGGCGGUUAUGAGGUGGGAGGUGCCGAGAUCACCCACCGAUAUCAGGAGUUUUCUGGGAUUGGACGGCUAUUAUCGGAGAUUUAUUAAGGAUUUCUUCAAGAUCGUCGUGCCACUCACCAAGUUGACCCGGAAGGGUGUUGCGUUUUCUUGGGGUCCGGAAGCAGACCUCGUUCGAGACACUUCGCCGGAAGUUAUGCGAAGCCCCAGUGUUAGCCCUUCCGGAAGGGAUGGAGGAUUUUGUGGUAUAUUGUGAUGCAUCGAUAUCCGGAUUGGGAGCGGUGCUUAUGCAGAGGGGGCACGUGAUAGCGUAUGCAUCGAGGCAGCUUAAGCCUCACGAUUCGAGAUAUCCCACUCAUGAUUUGGAGCUGGGAGCGGUAGUGUUCGCUCUCAAGAUCCGGCGACAUUAUCUGUAUGGGUGGGGUUCGGUGUACAAUAUAACGGACCACAAGAGCUUGAAGUAUCUGAUGGAUCAGCCCAACUUGAAUAUGCGCCAGAGGAGGUGGUGGGACGUGGUCAAGGAUUAUGAUUGUGAGAUCCUAUACCACUUGGGCAAGGCAAAUGUUGUAGCCGAUGCACUAAGCCAUAGGGCGGAGAGCGCCCCAAUGCGAGAUGUUUGUUUGAGAUUAACGGUGAUGACCCCAGUGUUGGAUGCUAUUCCUGGGGACCAGGCUGAGGCUGUGGAGCCCGAGAGCCAGAAAAGAGAGCGAGUUGUUGGGUUGGUAUCGGUGUUCGUUACCGAUAGUCGGGGGCUUAUGACAUUUUAGGGACGGAUUUGGGUACCAUCCGUGGGCGGCACACGUACAAUUUUGAUGGAGGAGGCUCAUCGAUCGAGAUUCUCGAUCCAUCCUGGGGCCACUAAGAUGUAUUUGGACCUGAAAAAGGAUUAUUGGUGGCCCUAUAUGAAGAGGAAUGCCGCAUGGUUUGUAGAGAGAUGCUUGACCUGUCGCAGAGUUAAGGCCGAGCAUCAGCGUCCACAUGGUAAGCUGCAGCCAUUAGAGAUUCCCGAGUGGAAAUGGGAACAGAUUACCAUGGACUUCAUCACCAAAUUGUCGAGGACUAUGAGGGGUGUCGAUGCAAUUUGGGUGAUUGUGGACAGGUUGGCAAAGAGUGCCCACUUCUUGGCCAUCAGUGAGAGCUCUUCCACGGAGAAGUUGGCUGAGAUGUACGUGAGAGAGGUGGUAUCGCGGCAUGGAGUGCCGAUCUCGAUUAUCUCAAAUCUAUAUGUACGUUUCACUUCCAGAUUCUGAAAGAAGUUAUGAGGAAUUGGGUACGAAACUGCAUUUUAGUACCGCAUAUCACCCACAGACCGACGGGCAGAGUGAGCGGACGAUUCAGACGCUCGAGGACAUGCUCCAAGCAUGUGUGUUGGAUUUCAGCGGGAGUUGGGAUACGUAUUUGCCCUUGGCGAAGUUCUUUUACAACAACAACCAUCGUUUGAGCAUUGGCAUGCCGCCCUUUGAGCUUUUGUAUGGGAGGAGGUGUCGGACCCCUAUUUGCUGGGGAGAGGUAGGGCAGCGUGUGAUGGGUACUAGCAAGAUUGUGCUUCAGACAACAGAGCAGAUCCAACAGGUCAGACAGAGGUUGUUGACCGCUCAGAGUCGUCAGAAGAGUUAUGCGGACAGACGCCGGUCCGAGUUCGAGUUUCGGGUCGGCGACUUCGUGCUCCUGAAGAUCUCUCCUUGGAAAGGAGUGAUCCGAUUCAGGAAGAGGGGCAAGUUGGGGCCCAUAUAUAUUGGUCCUUUCAGGGUGAUCGCGAGGGAAGGCAGGGUAGCCUAUCGUUUGGAGUUGCCGGCAGAGUUGGGUCAGAUUCAUGACACUUUCCACGUGUCGCAGUUGCGAAAGUGUAUAGCCGACGAGUCGGCAGUGGUGCCAUUAGAAGAUAUUCAGGUGGAUGCGAGCCUGAAUUAUGCUGAAAGAUCGGUGGCGAUCAGGGAUCGGAAGGUCAAGGUUUUGAGGAACAAGAAAGUGCCUCUGGUGCAGGUCCAGUGGCAACAUCGGAAAGGGUCAGAGUUGACAUGGGAACCAGAGCGUGAGAUGCGGGAGCAGCAUCCAGAGUUGUUUUCAGAGUGAGACUUCGAGGGCGAAGUUUGAUUCUAGUGGGGGAGAAUUGUAACAUCCGGGUUCCUAGGUAUUAUAUUUUGUUCUCUUAUUUUUGGAUAUUUUGAGGGGACUCGGCGAUAUGGCGUAUAAACUUGCCGAGUAUGGUCGCGGAUUCGUAUGCGAGUUCACAGCUGGACUCGGCGAGUCCACACUGUUUAAUGAAACCCUAAUUUCCAGGGUUUGAGACCUAUUUAAAGGGCCUUAUGGCUGUCAUUUGCGGCCACCAACCCCCAGAGAGAAACCCUAAAGAGAUCUAGAGCGUUUGUGAGGAAUGAGAGGCCAAUCUUGAACUUUUGUGGGUGUUUUUGCUAGAAGGAAGUGUUCAAGGCAAGAGGAGGCUGAAGGAGGUGCGGUUUUGGUGGUUUUUGAGCUCAUAGAGAUUGUAUUGAGGUAUUAUCCUCGGACCUUCUUCAGUUUUGAUGUUGAUCCUUUGUGUUAGGGUUUUCUAACCCUUUUUGAAGUGGAUUAAGUAGAGAAUUUGGUCCCUUCUCGAGUUUGUGCUCUGGAUCUGGACCCAAAGAGGUCCAGAGGCCUUAACACUUGGAGCUUUAUGAGUCCUUUUGGGAGCCAUGGGCUAGGAAUGUCAUUUUUGGGGCUAAAUCACCAUUUUGGACCAUUUAGAUGUGAUAUGUGUGUCAAGGUCUGAACUUUACAUGAUUAUCAUGCUUGGGGAGGCCAGAUCUAUGAUUUUAUGGAACGGAUCUGACCUCAAAAGUUGUUUUGAGUUUGUUCAUGGCAUGAAGUCGCCGAGUCCGAAGAACAGACUCGGCGAGUAGUAUGAAGGUUGUCAUUAAUCACUCAGUGAGUGGGCUUGUCGAGUUGGGGGAAUGACUCGGUGAGUCAGGGAGAGUUAGGAGGAUUGACCUCAAGUUGGAACUCACCGAGUUGUCUUGAGACUCGGCGAGUUGAGUCGGGGUGGCCCCGCGAUUCAUGCUAGGUGGAACUUGUCGAGUCAGGGAAGUACUCGACGUGCCAAGAGAGGGUCUAAGAGAGUCAGUGGACACGUGUAGACUCGCCGAGUCGCCCUAGAGCACUCGCCGAGUCGGGUCAAAGUUUGAACGUUGACCUUGUUGACUUUUAGGGUUGAGUACAGUUGUAUUUAUGAGAGUAUUACUUUAUGUGAUUAGGCGGAGGCUAGAUCACACCUCUCCCGAGUCAGAUAUUUACGGAGACAUCGAGGUGAGUCUUCUCAUUAUACGUUACCUAGAGUGGUACUAUGCGAUGACCAGAGCGUCUUAUGUGUUAUGUAUGAGAUUAUGUGCUAUGUGAUAUUUGUAUGUUGUAUGAUGAUAUAGACCGGACCAGAGGGUCCAACNNNNNNNNNNNNNNNNNNNNNNNNNNNNNNNNNNNNNNNNNNNNNNNNNNNNNNNNNNNNNNNNNNNNNNNNNNNNNNNNNNNNNNNNNNNNNNNNNNNNNNNNNNNNNNNNNNNNNNNNNNNNNNNNNNNNNNNNNNNNNNNNNNNNNNNNNNNNNNNNNNNNNNNNNNNNNNNNNNNNNNNNNNNNNNNNNNNNNNNNNNNNNNNNNNNNNNNNNNNNNNNNNNNNNNNNNNNNNNNNNNNNNNNNNNNNNNNNNNNNNNNNNNNNNNNNNNNNNNNNNNNNNNNNNNNNNNNNNNNNNNNNNNNNNNNNNNNNNNNNNNNNNNNNNNNNNNNNNNNNNNNNNNNNNNNNNNNNNNNNNNNNNNNNNNNNNNNNNNNNNNNNNNNNNNNNNNNNNNNNNNNNNNNNNNNNNNNNNNNNNNNNNNNNNNNNNNNNNNNNNNNNNNNNNNNNNNNNNNNNNNNNNNNNNNNNNNNNNNNNNNNNNNNNNNNNNNNNNNNNNNNNNNNNNNNNNNNNNNNNNNNNNNNNNNNNNNNNNNNNNNNNNNNNNNNNNNNNNNNNNNNNNNNNNNNNNNNNNNNNNNNNNNNNNNNNNNNNNNNNNNNNNNNNNNNNNNNNNNNNNNNNNNNNNNNNNNNNNNNNNNNNNNNNNNNNNNNNNNNNNNNNNNNNNNNNNNNNNNNNNNNNNNNNNNNNNNNNNNNNNNNNNNNNNNNNNNNNNNNNNNNNNNNNNNNNNNNNNNNNNNNNNNNNNNNNNNNNNNNNNNNNNNNNNNNNNNNNNNNNNNNNNNNNNNNNNNNNNNNNNNNNNNNNNNNNNNNNNNNNNNNNNNNNNNNNNNNNNNNNNNNNNNNNNNNNNNNNNNNNNNNNNNNNNNNNNNNNNNNNNNNNNNNNNNNNNNNNNNNNNNNNNNNNNNNNNNNNNNNNNNNNNNNNNNNNNNNNNNNNNNNNNNNNNNNNNNNNNNNNNNNNNNNNNNNNNNNNNNNNNNNNNNNNNNNNNNNNNNNNNNNNNNNNNNNNNNNNNNNNNNNNNNNNNNNNNNNNNNNNNNNNNNNNNNNNNNNNNNNNNNNNNNNNNNNNNNNNNNNNNNNNNNNNNNNNNNNNNNNNNNNNNNNNNNNNNNNNNNNNNNNGAGGAUUUAAGUGUCCUAUUAAACCCGUUCGGCUAACGACCCUCCACUGGUCAAGGGUGCGGUGAGUAAAAAUGGAUACCCGAUGGCGGUCAUUUUAUAGGACACUUCCUUAAACACCCCUUAUAGAUCAUCUUCGUGAAUGAGACCUACUAACGGCAAGACUGACUUUUUUUACUUAUACAUAUAUAAUAUAUUAAACUUUUAAUUUUAUACAAUAUAAUUGUGUAUUUUAAACAUCUAAAAUACUAGGUUGUUUAAUCUAUUAAUUAAACUAGAGGAUUUAAGUGUCCUAUUAAACCCGUUCGGCUAACGACCCUCCACUGGUCAAGGGUGCGGUGAGUAAAAAUGGAUACCCGAUGGCGGUCAUUUUAUAGGACACUUCCUUAAACACCCCUUAUAGAUCAUCUUCGUGAAUGAGACCUACUAACGGCAAGACUGACUUUUUUUACUUAUACAUAUAUAAUAUAUUAAACUUUUAAUUUUAUACAAUAUAAUUGUGUAUUUUAAACAUCUAAAAUACUAGGUGGUUUAAUCUAUUAAUUAAACUAGACUUUUAAUUUAAUUAAACUCAAACCAUAUAAUACUGUGGUGUUUUAUGUACAUACAACCCUAGGGGUAUUUUGGGUAUUUUGAACUAUAGACUGAGAUUUGGUCACUAUUUGUUGAAAAGGUGACUGGUAGAGUUCGUCGUCAGAGCAGCGUGUUAUUAAACUAUUUCGUCAGAAUGUGAGCUAAGUUUCCCUCAUUGUACUUGUUGGGUCGAAGGCACCAAUGUCGACCCACUGGAUUAUGUAUCCUGGUAUAUCGGAUUGUAACAUCCCAAUUUUCGAGUCCAAAAAAAACCAUUUUAAUUAACUGAGUAUAAAAGCAUUCAUAAGAAAACCACAUAGAAAUACAUCAUUUCGUAAAUCAACAUAUCAUGUCUGAAAACCCAAAUCAUAAUAUAGCAACAUGUCAGAGUACAAUCCCCUCAAGUGUGGAAAAUCAAUGCGUGUGUGUAUGAUGGCUGCUACCGCGCGAACUCUUUCCCCUUCGCUGAAGAGGUACCUGAAACCAAUACUGUAAACUGUAAGCACGAAGCUUAGUGAGUUCCCUCAUCGUACCACAUACCAUACAAUCACAUAGGAUACAUACCGUCGGGCAAUUCUGGGGUGCCCAACCUACCCGGUAUGGCCAUUUUGGGGUGCUGUCCUACCCAUGCGGCCAUUCUAGGGUGCCGUCCUACCCGUGUCAAGCCAUUCUAGGGUGCUGACCUACCCUUCGGUCCUAACAACUGAACCUCGGGGACUAUUCCCGUCCUACUACCGCUAUCUCAUAUAACAUAUCAUGCUAGCAAUUAAUCAUAUCAUAACAUAUUGUUAGGCAUAUCUGGGGAGCCUUACCUACCCUUCGGCCCUAACAACCGAACUCUACAACUAUCACAUAUAACAUAUCAUGCCAGCAUAUAACAUAUCAGGUAGUAGCAAACCUAGAUGAUAUCACAAACACAAUCAUCUAAUAUAAAACUCCUACUGGUGGGCCGACAUUGUGGCCAUAGACCCACUGCUACUGGAAGGUAACUCACCUCGUACGAGUAGCUGCUGAUAAUCUGUGCGGGAAAUCUCUGUCUGCUGCUGCUCCGGAAAUCCUCCGGCUAUAAUCCCCACAAAACACUUAGUCAGAGUCUGAUAUCUAUUCUUAGGGUAAAAUGAUCAUUUUACCCCUGACCAAGUCCAAGUAAAAGUUAAAGUCAACUUCCAGUUGACUUGACUUGCCGAGUUGGGCCGCCAACUCAUCGAGUCCCUAUUCCUUUAACUGUCCUCAUCCACGCCUCUACUCGUCGAGUCUAGAAAUCACUCGACGAGUUAUCCUUCUAUACGAACAUCGAAUGAACCUUCAUCCGACUCGCCGAGUUGUAUGAACAACUCAUCGAAUUCAUCCUUAUCCUAUGAACCAGUAUUGUCGUCGACUCGCCAAGUUGUAUGAACAACUCGUCGAGUUCAUCUUCAAGAGUUGGGAGAUUGCCUUGGACUCGCCGAGUCGGCCCAUGCACUCGCUGAGUCCUAUGAAUUCCAGGACUAUGGCUUAUCCCAAUACAUUUGGGUCACUCCCCUGGACCCUCUAAAACCUUUCCAGCACUCCACUGGGUCUCUCUGACCCAUAACAGAAAAGGGGAGUCUAACCUCGGACUCGCCGAGUCCCAAGAACGAUUCGCUAAGUUGAUAUUGUCCAAGUCUAUUUCUUCGAUUUUUGGUGUAAAACUCUUGUCCAAAUGAUAUAUCUAGGUCCCUAAACUCGAUCUAACACGUAAAGUUAUGAACUUUACGUGCAUGCAUGGGACUUUGAGCCAAAAAGGCUCUAAAAUAGACUCUUAAGCUACAUGGGGGCUUCCAUGGGUGCAAAAGCAGCCCUUUCCUACCUUGUAACUCCUUCAUGGACCUAGAUCUGAAGCCUCAACCCUCAACCAUGCUUGCAAUCAUGGUUGGUUACCAAGAAUGGCUUACAAAAGCCCUAAAUCUUCCCCAAAAACGGAUCUAGCAAAUGAACAAGCAAGGUAUCGACUUUAUACCUUUUGCGAACUGCAAAUGAUGCAUAAACUUGAACUCCCUUAGUCUUCUCUUGAUUCCUCUAGGCUCUUCCUUCUUCCUUGUGGUCAAAACCACCAAAAAUCACCGCAAAUGCCUUUAGAUCCUUACACACAUAGUUAGGGUUUGCUAUGGGGGUUUCUGGAAGCAAUAGGGAUGAACGGUGGCUGGAUGAGAUGCUUAAAUAGGGUGCAAACCCUUAGAUUAGGGUUUUGUCUAGUCAGAGUCUACUCGUCGAGUCUGGAAGCCGACUCGACGAGUCCUUCAUUUAAAUCCCACUUCAAAUCCGCUUCUACAUGACGAGUUGGGCCUUCAAAGCUUCGAGUCCAAAGCCAAAAAUGUAAAAUAAUUAAAUAGAAUACAUACCAAGAACCAGGUGCUAAGAAUCUUCCCCAUUUAUUUUAGACUUCGUCCUCGAAGUCUGCUGCUCGUUCCUGGAAAUGUUCGGGUUAAUGAUCCAUCGUCUCAUCCACCGGCUCCCAAGUCCAUUCUGAGCCCUUCCGGUGCUGCCAUUGCACCUUCACUAACUCAACCCUCUUGUUCCUCAGAUCCUUCGAUUUCCGGUCAAGGAUCGCCAUAGGCCGCCCAAUGUAAUUCAGGCUAUCAUCGAUCUGAAUAUCCUCUAAAGGUACCACUGCCAAAUCGUCCACUAAACAUUUCCAUAACUGGGAGACAUGAAAAGUGCUAUGAAUCUGACUGAGUUCGGAUGGUAGCUCCAGCCUAUAUGCCACUUUCCCUACCCAGGAUAUAAACCUGAAGGGUCAGAUAUACCUUGGACCCAACUUGCCCCGUUUCAUAAAUCGCACGACGCCCUUCCAUGGCGACACCUUCAGGAGAACCAUAUCCCCGACCUGGAACUCUAGGUCUGAUCGGCGCUUGUCGGCAUAACUUUUCUGCCGACUCUGAGUAGUCUGAAGCCUGAUCCGGAUCAGAUGAAUCUUCUAUGUCGUCUUGAGCACCACUUCGGUGCUCCCCAUGACCCUCUGGCUAACCUCACCCCAACAUAUCAGGGUCCUGAAUUUCCUCUCGUAUAACAUCUCGAAGGGAGGAUGAUCAAUACUCGCGUGGUAGCUGUUGUUAUAUGAGAACUCCGCCAAUGGGAGGUAAGUAUCCCAACUACCACCAAAGUCUAACACACACGCCCACAACAUAUCCUCCAGAGUCUGGAUGGUCUGCUCACUCUGACCAUCUGUCUGCGGGUGAAAUGCAGUGCUAAAGUGCAGACGAGUACCGAACUCGUCACGGAAUUUCUUCCAGAACCUGGAAGUGAACCGCUCAUCCCUGUCUGAAAUCACGGAGACUGGCACUCAUGUCGAGCCNCUGGCACUCCAUGUCGAGCCACCACCUCUUGAAUGUAGAUGUUGGCCAACUUCUCGGCCAAGAUACUCUCUUGGAUCGGUAUGAAAUGGGCACUCUUGGUCAACCAAUCCACGAUGACCCAUAUGGAAUCCACUGCUUGCCCGGUCCUGGGAAGUUUGGUGAUGAAGUCAAUGGUAAUAUAUUCCCACUUCUACAGGGGAAUAUCCAACAGUUGCAUCUGAGGGGUUUUGAGCAUUCUAACACUUCCUAAGUGUACAUGCAACCCUAAUAACCUUGGAUCUAUGUUUGUCUAAUUAUCAUGCAAAGUUGAAUUCCAAGGUUAUAUUCCUAUCUAGCAUACAUGGGGAACAAUUUUAACUUGAAUCAUAGAUAGAAUAACUUACCUUGUUGUUGCUUGUGUUCCUUGAAACCUUGUGAGCCUAGCACCCCAAGUGUGAUGCCUCAAAUGCUUCACACAACACCAAAUGCUCUUGGAAAGACUCUUGAGAUAACACACACUUCUCAAAAUCGGCCAAGCCCUCUAGUUUCUUAGUGUAGCCGAUUUUGGUGGAGAAUAUGAUUCUUAUAUAGUGUUGACACAUCUAGGGUUACACCAUGUAAACCCUAAUGUGUCAUGACUCUUCAUUUCCAUGACCCAUGGGUUUGUAACUCCCAUGGAGCAUCCAUGGAGCAUCCUAUGGGUAGAACCCAACUUGAUAAUCCAUGGAGCCUCUUAGCCCACUAUACAAGAUAUGGAUGAUUUACAUAAUCAACCCAUAUAUUUAAUUAGUUAUCCUUUGAUCACUUAAUUAAUUCCAAAUUAAUUCUUUGAUCAACUAAUCAAAUAAUAUUAUUAAUAUAUUAGAACUUAUAAUAUAUUAAUAAUCUCCAAGUGUUAUUUCUCUCAUUUAGUCUAUCCAAUUGCAUGGUGCCAUGCAACCCAAAUGGACCAUGCCGGGUCGGGUCAAGUACAAGCCCGAAAUAGUUAUGGACUUAGACACCUUAUCCAACAGUCUCCCACUUGGAUAAGUCUAAUAACUAUAUCUCUAGUACUUCAGGAACCGACCGGCAAUCGUAGCUCUUUCAAGGUCUCUCGGAACUGAGAAGAUGAUGGUACGCCAUUUAAGAUAAGUGAUCAUAUAAUCCUCCGUUCUAGAUAUCAGCCGGACAAAUACAUGGAACAUUGUCUUGCUUAUUGUCCAGCAUUUGUUUCCCGAUUUCCGAUUUGUUUGACAUAGAACUUAAUUGAACACAUCAACUUAGUUCUGACCGGGCCCGGUACAUGGGUCAAAACAAAAUCAUCGAGGGGCCCAGAUAUCAGCUUCUAAUCCAAGAAGGAACAGAUAAACUUCGACUCAUAUGUUUGUUCUACCACUCAUUGAAUUACACACAAAAGUACGUUUUAUAACAUCGAGUUACCAAUGCGGUUUCGUACAGUCAAUGCAUAACCAACUUGUAAGUAACAAAUCAUAUCUCUAGGUUUGAAGACUUAUAUGAUAUUACCGUCUCACGAUCACUCGAGAUAGAAUUCCAUGAAGUGAUUCCAGUGAGCGUGGGUUGAGUCCAAUGCUCAGAACUUAUGAGCACUCAUGAUUGUUGUAGCCUUGUCCAACACCUUAGACCUCUACAACCCAUCAUGACAGUCUUGAUUCAUACCUACUUCCGACAUAUGACCGACUGUGGAGGUUUGAAUAAUAUGUUACACCAAACAAAAUUAUUCUGGAAGUCAAAACAUGCAAAAGAAAUAUAGUAAACGAUUGACAAGAGAUAGCAACACUUUACUCAUAAAUAAAACACCUUUUAUUCAUCAUCAAAUGUCAAUUACACUUUACAAAUUUCUGGGUUAUCUAACUACUAAAACUUAUAUCAUCCUUCAGCCCUAUGCUCCGAGCAUGCUGGAGAUGCUUAACCCUACUCAGUCCCUUCGUGAGGGGAUCUGCUGGGUUCUCAUCCGAUGAUACCCUCUUUGCCACGAGGAGUCCUUCUUCGAUCCGAUGUCUAAUGAAAUGGUAUUUUCUGUCGAUGUGUCUGGAUCUCCCAUGAUCCCUUGGUUCCUUGGCUAAGGCAACAGCACUUUCACUAUCACAGAAAAUUUCCAUUGGCUCUUUAAUAGCUGGUACAACUCCAAGGUCUCCAAUGAAGUUCUUCAGCCAUAUCGCCUCCUUUGCUGCUUCGCUAGCUGCAAUAUACUCUGAUUCACAAGUAGAAUCUGCCACUGUCUCUUGCUUGGAACUCUUCCAAGAAAUUGCUCCUCCGUUUAGGGUAAAGACCCAGCCCGACUGAGAGCGGAAAUUAUCCCUAUCAGUCUGGAAGCUAGCAUCACUAUACCCUACAACUCUCAAGUCAUCACUCCCACCGAGGGUAAGGACCCAGUCCUUAGUCCUCCGUAGGUACUUGAGGAUAUUCUUUACCGCAGUCCAGUGUGCCUUGCCAGGGUUCGCCUGAUACCUGCUAACCAUGCUCAAGGCAAAAGCUACAUCGGGUCGAGUACACGUCAUAGCAUACAUGAUCGAUCCUACAGCCGAAGCGUAAGGUGUUCGACUCAUUUCUGCUAUCUCAGCCUCAGUGCUAGGGCUUUGUGUCUUACUCAAUCUGGUGUUACUCUGGAUGGGUAACUCUCCUUUCUUGGAAUCCUGCAUGCUGAAUCUCUUCAGCACCUUAUCCAAGUAGGUACUCUGACUAAGUCCAAUUAGUCUUUUACUCCGAUCUCUCAAGAUUCUUAUCCCUAGAAUAUAGGCAGCUUCACCAAGGUCCUUCAUAGCGAAACACUUCCCAAGCCAGGACUUUACUUCCUGCAGGGUUGGAAUGUCGUUUCCUAUGAGUAGUAUGUCAUCCACAUACAAUACCAAAAAGCUAACUAUACUCCCACUAGCCUUGACAUACACACAAGAUUCAUCUUCACUCCUAGAAAAGCCAAAUUCCUUGACCUUUUCAUCAAAGCAAAGAUUCCAUCUGCGAGGUGCUUGCUUCAAUCCAUAAAUGGAUUUCUCAAGCUUACACACUCUAUUAGGGUACUCGUUGCUGACAAAACCCUCUGGCUGACUCAUGUAAACAUCUUCAGCCAACUUUCCAUUAAGGAAAGCGGUUUUGACAUCCAUCUGCCAUAUUUCAUAGUCAUGAAAUGCAGCUAUGGCUAACAGAACCCGAAUAGACUUAAUCUUGGCUACCGGAGAAAAGGUCUCAUCAUAAUCCACUCCAGGAAUUUGAGAGAAGCCCUUUGCAACCAGUCUAGCCUUAUAAGUGUGUACUUUACCAUCCAUGUCGGUCUUCUUCUUGAAGACCCAUUUGCACCCUACUGUCUUACGACCUGGUACAUUUUCAACCAAGUUCCAAACUUGAUUGUCAUACAUGGAUUGUAUCUCGCUAUCCAUAGCCUCUUUCCAUUUAGCAGACUCGGGGCCUGCCAUGGCUUCCUCGUAGCUGUUAGGGUCAUCUUGACUUACUAGUGUCUCAUCACUAAUAAGUGUCUCACCUUCUGCAGUAAUAUGGAAUCCAUAGUAAUGCUCAGGUGCACUCCUAACUCUCGUGGAACGUCUCAGAGGUACAGAUUUGUCAAUUGGCUCAACAGGAGUUUCCUCCUCAAGUUGAGGGCUAGAGUUUGAAGUUCCUUCACCGCUUGAUUCUUGAAUUUCUUCAAGAUCAAUUUGCCUCCCACUGUCUCCUUGGCUUAUAAACUCUCUUUCUCGAAAGACUCCUCUUCUUGCUACAAAGACCACAUUGUCACUAGGUCUGUAGAAGAGGUAACCAAAGGAUCGCUGUGGGUAACCGAUGAAAAUACACCUCUCGCUUCGAGGUUCGAGCUUAUCAUGAGUCUCGCGUCUCACGAAAGCCUCGCAACCCCAAAUCUUGAUGUGGUCUAGUUUAGGUACUUUACCAGUCCACAUCUCGUGAGGAGUUUUGGCAACUUUCUUUGUAGGGACUAGAUUAAGAAUAUGGGCGGCAGUCUCUAAGGCAUACCCCCAGAAUGAGAUUGGUAGCGUAGCUCGACUCAUCAUGGAACGAACCAUAUCUAACAAGGUUCGAUUACGCCUCUCAGCCACACCAUUCAACUGUGGUGUCCUGGGAGGUGUCAAUUGUGAGACUAUCCCACAUUCCCUUAGAUAGUCGAGGAACUCUGAACUAAGAUACUCACCACCACGAUCGGAUCGAAGCAUCUUAAUGUUCCUGCCCAAUUGAUUCUCGACUUCCUGUUUAAAUUCCUUAAACCUCUCGAAAGUCUCUGACUUAUGCUUGAUCAAGUAGACAUAUCCAUAUCUACUAUAAUCAUCAGUAAAAGUCAAAUAAUAACGAUUAGCAUCCCUUGUGGCAUGUUUGAAUGGUCCACACACAUCCGUGUGUAUAAGGUCCAACAAACCUUCACCCCUCUCACACGAACCUGUGAAGGGUGACUUUGUCAUUUUUCCAAGUAAGCAUGAUUCGCAACUAUCAUCUGACUUUAGGUCAAACGACUCCAAGACUCCAUCCUUUUGGAGUUGGCCUAUGCGUUUCUUGCUUAUAUGUCCAAGACGACAAUGCCAUAAAGAUGCUUUAUCCAAGUUAUUAUUAGUAGAAUCAAUACACAAAACAUUAUUUCCCAAGUUAUCUACAACAGAUACAGCUUCAUACACACCAUCACAAGGUAAUGCUUUAAAAUAAAAGACAUUAUUAUAGAAAACAUCUAUAGAACCAACUUCAUUAUUAAAUGAAAAGGUAAACCCUUGUUUGUACAAAGCAUGAAAGGAAAUAAUAUUUCUUGCCAUUCCUGGCGAAUAACAACACUUAUUCAAAUCUAAACUAAACCCACUACUUAGCGAUAAAGUAUAAACUCCAAUCUUGGUAACAGGUAUAGCUUUCCUAUUCCCCAUGAUCAAGUUUAUCCUUCCUUGCUCCACAUCCUCACUUCUUCUUAGUCCCUGCAAGUCACAACAAAUGUGAAUACCACACCCGGUAUCAAGGACCCAAGAAUUAGAAUGGGGUGAGUUAUUAGAAAUGAUAGUGUAAAUACCUGCAUGGUUGGGUUUAACUUUCCCAUCCUUCACAUCUUGCUGGUAUUUUGGGCAGUUCCGCUUCCAAUGAGCUUUUUCAUGGCAAUAGAAGCAUUCAGCCUCUUUUGGGUCAGAAGAAGGAGUAAUGAAACCUUUCUUGGUUCCACUUGAAGAAGAGCCAUCAAGGGUCCGAACCUUGGUACCCUUAGAAGAGCUCUUUCUCUUCCUCCCUCGACUUUUCCCGAUUGCCAAAACCGGAGUAGAGUUUUGAGUAGGAGUGAUAGCAACCGACUUCCCCUUAAGACCUGAUUCUGCGGUCUUGAGAAGUCCCUGAAGUUUGCUGAGGGUGACUUCUUCCUUGUUCAUGUGAUAUGUCAUGCGGAAUUGAUCAUAGCACGAUGGUAAGGAAUGCAAAAUAAUAUCUAUUGCAAGAUCCUCCGGGAAGUUCACAUUAAGCUUCAGCAAACGAUCCACAUACCUUUGCAUUUUCUGCAUGUGGCUCGUGACGGAUUCCCCGUCCUUCAUCAUGGUUGUUAUCAUGGAGCAGAUGAUUUCAUACCUCUCUUGUCUUGCACUUUGAUGGUAUCUUUCCAUCAAAUCUUGGUGCAUUUCAUAAGGGUAGAAAUCCUCAUAAGACUUUUGGAGUUCCGCUGUCAUCGUGGCCAUCAUGAUGCAAGCCACUUUCGUAGCAUCCCUUUCAUGUGCCCGAAAUUCAGCGAUCUCCUGAGGAGUUGCAGUGGACUCAUCAAUCUCCUUAAGCUCCUUGUCAAGGACAUAUUCUUUGUCCUCGUAGCGGGUAAUCAUCCUGAUGUUUCUGAUCCACUCAUUGAAGUUGGAUCCAUCAAAGGUGACUUUCCCACACAAGUUCAUAAGGGUAAAGGAGCCAUUAGGAUUAGAGCCAGAAGCAUUGUUGAAAGACAUCUGAAGGAAAGAGGACAAGAUUAGUUUAGAUAUAAGAGAGUCCUUAAUAAAACACCCAAAUGUAAUAUUAAGGCUAGGAUCCAAUCACAAUAUAAUAUAACUUAGAAGAGGUAUGCCGUAAUCUAAGCUAUAUCAUAUUUGAAAGGUAGGUGAAUGACGAUUCACCAAUUUCCACCACGAAAACCGCAAUAUUUUAGUAUUAGGUUUUUGAAUGGUUCUUAGAAAUUCCUAGAUUCUUUGAGAUUCAAUGAACUUUUCAAAGGCAUGUUUCAAUCUCGAGUGUGCCCUCCAAGUUUUGUGACUGGGAUACCGAGGAUCACAAAACGAGGUGUGAAGUAACCAUGCAAAUCACUUGGUACCCUUAAAGUUUAUCACUCAAUCGAUGUGCCGGUUAACCACACACGCUCCAUCGAUACUAUAAUAAACCCUAAGUCACCCUUUACCUACCUUGUUAAGUCCAAGUUAGUGUGCCGGUUAACCACACACGCUCCACCAACGACUUAAUCAAAGUGUAAAGUGUAAUUUCAUGGAAUAGCACCUUAUUCACAUUUUUCCUAAAGUAACUAAGAUUGGGAAUUUAAUAAAACAUUUAGUUACUUUAUAAUAUUCAUCAUACUUUGAAUGAGAAUUAAUAAGUCCUUGUCUUACCCGUUCGGCUAACGACCCUCCACCGAUCAAGCAAGCGGUGGGUGAGAGUGGACACCCAUUAAGUCACCAUUUUAUAGGCAACAACCUUAUACCCACCUUAUAGACCGGCUUCGUGAAUGAGGCGUACUAGCGGUAAGACGACUUUGUUCUUAUACAUAUAUAUAUAAUUAUUAAAUCAUAAUAAUAUAAGUAUAAGGGUUGAAUUUUAACUUUUAAAAUUCUAGGGGUUGGAACUAAAGUUUUAACUUAACUUUACUUGUUCCAAAACUUGAGGGCAAGUUUUGUAAACUUUCAAAACUUUUCAUUUCUUGUAACUUAUGAGUUUAAUAGAGUAAUAAAAUGAGGACUUUUCAUUUUUCCUAACUCUUGUGUUCUUUUAAUGUUUUUUAAUCCAAGAGACUUUUGGUUUUCCAUAACUUGAGGACAAGUUAUGGACUCCAUUAAAACACAUUAUGAUCAUGAAUUAAUCUACCACAUAGGUUACAAAUAAUUCCUAUGAUCAUCUAAACAUCAUAAGAACAAGAAUAUGAAUAUGAACACUUUCAAGAAUCAAAAUCACAUUUAAUCUUUGUAAUUUUGAUAACUAGUUGUUGUAAAUGAGUUAGAAAAGACAUUACACCUUCUAAAAUAAGUUUUCAAGUACCAAAACAUUUUAGGGUAAUGAUUCUAAUCCAUUUCCAGCAACACAAGUCGAAAUUCUGCACUCUGUCGACCCUACUCGCCGAGUGCAUAAACCUACUCGCCGAGUAGGUUGAAGAUACACAUGAACUCGUCGAGUCCUCCCCAUGGACUCGCCGAGUCCAUCAGUCAGACAGCAAGAUUUUCGACUUUCUUCAACUUUUAAGCACAAAUAACAAACAAACAAGCCUAGGCUCUGAUACCACUGAUGGGUUUUGAGCAUUCUAACACUUCCUAAGUGUACAUGCAACCCUAAUAACCUUGGAUCUAUGUUUGUCUAAUUAUCAUGCAAAGUUGAAUUCCAAGGUUAUAUUCCUAUCUAGCAUACAUGGGGAACAAUUUUAACUUGAAUCAUAGAUAGAAUAACUUACCUUGUUGUUGCUUGUGUUCCUUGAAACCUUGUGAGCCUAGCACCCCAAGUGUGAUGCCUCAAAUGCUUCACACAACACCAAAUGCUCUUGGAAAGACUCUUGAGAUAACACACACUUCUCAAAAUCGGCCAAGCCCUCUAGUUUCUUAGUAGUGCCGAUUUUGGUGGAGAAUAUGCUUCUUAUAUAGUGUUGACACAUCUAGGGUUACACCAUGUAAACCCUAAUGUGUCAUGACUCUUCAUUUCCAUGACCCAUGGGUUUGUAACUCCCAUGGAGCAUCCAUGGAGUAUCCUAUGGGUAGAGCCCAACUUGAUAAUCCAUGGAGCCUCUUAGCCCACUAUACAAGAUAUGGAUGAUUUACAUAAUCAACCCAUAUAUUUAAUUAGUUAUCCUUUGAUCACUUAAUUAAUUCCAAAUUAAUUCUUUGAUCAACUAAUCAAAUAAUAUUAUUAAUAUAUUAGAACUUAUAAUAUAUUAAUAAUCUCCAAGUGUUAUUUCUCUCAUUUAGUCUAUCUAAUUGCAUGGUGCCAUGCAACCCAAAUGGACCAUGCCGGGUCGGGUCAAGUACAAGCCCGAAAUAGUUAUGGACUUAGACACCUUAUCCAACAGCAUCUUGCCGUGUGGCCUCUGGUGCUCGGCCUGGACCUUCCUGUAGGUCAAGCAUCACUCCACAUACCAUGCUACAUCCCGCUUCAUGUAGGGCCACCAAUAGUCAAGAUUAAUAUCCCUAUACAUCUUCGUCGCCCCAGGAUGGAUAGAAAACCUGGAUUUGUGCGCCUCCUCCAUCAAUUUCUGACGCCCACCUCCAUGAUAGGGGACCCACACCCUACGGUAGAGGGUCAACAGCCCUCGGCUAUCAUAGUCGAAGGAGGAAACCUGACCCACAAUACGCUCACUCUUCUAAUGUUCGUCCUUCACAGCCUCCUCCAAGACCUCUCGGAUCUGCUCCAACAACGAAGUCACCACGGUCAUCCGCAUACAGACAUCCCUGAUCAGCGUUGCCUUGUGGCAAAGUGCGUCGGCGACCACAUUGGCCUUCCCCGGGUGGUAAAGGAUAUCGCAAUCAUAAUCCUUCACCACAUCCAACCACCGCUGCGGCCUCAUGUUCUGAUUCAGCUGAUCCAUGAGGUACCUCAAAAUCUUGUGGUCCGUGUAAAUGGUACAACGGACCCCAUAAAGGUAAUGAAGCCAAAUAUUGAGGGCGAACACAACAACCCCCAACUCCAAAUCAUGUGUCGGAUAGUUCGCCUCAUAAGGCCUCAGCUGCCUCGAAGUGUAGGUGAUGACAUGCCCUCUCUGCAUCAAUACCGCGCCCAAACCCGAAAUAGACGCGUCGUUGUACACAACAAAAUCCUCUACGCCCUCUAGCAGGGCUAAGAUCGACUCCUCGCACAAUCUCUGUCUCAGUGUCUCAAACAUUGCAUGUUGCUCAGGCCCACAACGAGAGACUACGACCUUCUUCGUCAGCCGCGUCAAUGGUACGACUAUCUUGGAAAAAUUCUGGAUGAAUCUCCAAUAGUAUCCGGCUAAUCCCAGGAAACUCCGAAUCUCAGAUGGAAACUUCGGAACCUCCCAUCUCAUCACAACCUCCACCUUGGUCGGGUCGACCAGAAUGCCAUUCUGGUUGACUAGGUGCCCAAGAAACUGCACCUCGCGCAACCAGAACUCACACUAGGAGAACUUGGCGUACAAGCUCUCCCUCCUCAGGGUAUCCAAAACCUCUCAUAGAUGCUCCUCAUGCUGCUCCUGCGUGUUGGAGUAAACCAAAAUGUCAUCAAUGAAAACUAUCACAGACCGAUCUAACAUCGGUCUGCACAUGCGGUUCAUGAGAUCCAUGAACAUGACAGGAGAAUUGGUGAGCCCGAAAGGCAUCACCACAAACUCAUAGUGGCCAUAGCACGUCCAGAACGCAAUCUUCUACGCAUCCUCCCCUCUAACCCUCAUGUGAUGAUAUCCUGAACGCAAAUCAAUCUUGGAUAACCAAGAUGAUCCCUGUAGCUGGUCAGAGAGGUCAUCAAUCCUCGGGAGUGGGUAACGGUUCUUCACCGUUACCUUAUUCAGCUCCCGGUAAUCUAUACACAUCCGAUGCGACCCGUCCUUCUUCUUCACAAAUAGAAUCGGGGCUCCCCAUGGUGAACUGCUUGGUCUGAUGAAUCCCUUGUCUAACAGCUCCUGCAACUGUGUAGACAACUCCUGCAUCUCAAGAGGAGCCAACCGAUAUGGUGCCUUGGCUAUCGGAGCCGCACCAGGGACGAGGUUGAUCCUAAACUCCACCUGCCUCUCCGGAGGUAUCCCAGACAACUCCUCGGGGAAUACAUCCGCAAACUCUCGCACUACUGGCACAUCCCCCACCGUCGUCGUACCCGUCUCUCGGGUAUCCGUAACAUAGGAGACAAAUCCUGCGCAACACUGCUAAAGGUAGCGCCUCACUCUCGCUGUUGAACAUAAGGCUGGUCCAUGAUGUGGCCUCUCGCCCUGGAUCACCAAGCCCCCCCCCCCUUGGGGUCCUGAUCCACACCAACUGUUGCGCGCAAUCGAUCACUGCCCCAUUGGGGCUUAGCCAAUCCAUACCAAUAAUAACCUUGUUCCCCUUCAACGGUAUAGGUACCGAAUCCACUAGAUAACGCUCUUCGAACAAUCUGAAAACACAGUCCCGGAAGACCUCUGAUGCUUGCACAUACCGGUCAUCCGCAAUCUCGACCUCUAGAGGGCAAUCCAACAUGCCCGAAGACUCAGGAAACUUCUUGCUAAGCGCAAGAGAAACAAAUGAUCGGGUAAACAAAUGAUCGGGUAGCGCCCGAAUCAUACAACACCUGAACCGGUAUACCGUUCACAUGGAACGAUCCUAAACAUACAUAUAUACGAGCAUAUAUCAACAUCAAGACAUCAUAAAAAUAAAUCAGAGGGGAAGAAUCAUACCUGUCAUCAGAUUGGGUGCGGCACGUGCCUCCUCGGUAGUCAACUAGAAAGCCUGACUCCUCACCACCGGAGCCUCUUCCUUAACCUGCCGGCCAUCAGUAAUCCGCAGGGUCGCUGGGGCUAGCGCUGUAACGACGUGAAAAUUUAAAACAAAAUUUUUCAUUUUUAAAAUGCAUACUUUUGAUAACACUUUGUAAAACAAUCUCGUUUGUUCACUUUAAAAAAACACAACUCCAUAUUUGAAUAAUUAAUAAUCUGGGAUCCUCAAAGCAUAACUCUUCCUCUGGUGUGUACAAUCAAGUCGGUGCCGUCCCACUAACGUGAAAACCUGAAACACAUAACCCAUAACACUAUAAGCACGAAGCUUAGUGAGUUCCCCAAAAUACCUCAUACAACACAUACGCCACUCGAGGCUACAGUACGACCCUUCGGUCGAUGUGCCUCAGCGGGAGCCUGCAGUCCCGUAGCUCGUUGGACCCUCAGGUCCGGUCAUAGCUCGUCGGACCCUUCGGUCUAUUCUGUGUCGUUGGACCCUUCGCUCCGGUCUAUAUCGUUGGGCCCUCCGGCCCGGUCUAUUCAACACAUAGAAUACAUAUAAAACAAUGCACAUAAUCUCAUACAUACACAUAGCAUACAAGACCCUCCGAUCUACACAUAAAUACCACUCUAUGUAAUGUAUAGUGAGAAGACUCACCUCGGGUAAAGAACAACUCCUAUAAACACUGCUGCUACGCACCGGCCUCUAACCCUGUGCCAAACCCACAAUUAUCUCAAUUAGGAGCUAAGUCCAACCUCUCACUUAUUGGGUCUAAUGAUAGACCACCCACCAGCCCAUUAAUGCCCUAAGCCCAUUAGGCCCACCAAGGACGAAUAACAAAUGGGCCCUCACACGGCCCAAAACCCAAACUAAGAGGCAAGACCAAACCAAGGGCCCAAAGCACAUAUAUCCACUUCUUUAGUCCAAGACUCUAUUGCAUGAAGUCCAAACUCCAUGCCCAACACUCAAGGCCCUACACAACACUUAGCCCAAAAACCCCUAGAAGGAGUUACACGGGGCGUACCCCCUUGGUACGCUCAGCGUACCCAACGUGCAUGGAGCUGAUCGGGGACCUCAACCCACUACGCUAGGCGUUCUGAGGCUUACGCCCAGCGUAAGUUCCAGACUCAUCCUUUUGAUAAUUUUGGUCUGAAUAGGUUAAGACACGGGCUUAUAUCACAGAUCUAGGCUCUCUACUGCCUCUUAAGCCAUAAAGUCGGAACCUUUAAGCCUUUGCAUGGCUAUAAAGACCACCAACCUCUCCAAACUCUUAACUUCUUUCCUCAUUAAGUCCUUAACUCAAGCUUGACUUAAUAUUUACGACCAAGACUGGAUUUUUACGAAAUUACAAUUCAUGAUGCACUGAAAUAAGGCAGAUUCUAGCUUAUGGAGGCCAUUUGCUCGUAAAACCUCCAUCUUAGGACCAAAAACCCUAAAAGUUGGUUCAUCAAGCACAACACAAACAUGAAAAGGAAAUCUCUGAGCUUUUUACCUCUAAGAGAAGCUCCACCCUCUGAAGAACUCAUAUCCAAACUUGUACUCCAACUUCUAGCCUCCACAAAGACCUCAUCUUCUUCUUCACCAUCACAAAAGGCUCUUUCUAGCUCAAAACACUCACACAAAACUUUAGAACGAUGAUGAUGCUCUCUUAGGGUUUCUCACUGUGAAAUGGUGGUUCAGGAUAAGUCCAUAACAUUCCUUAUAUAGUGCACAAGUCUUAUUUAGGGUUUUGCAUCUUGGCCGACUACGCCCAGUGUAAUCUUUGGUACACCCAGCGUACCCAGCAGCGUCUGCGUCCAAAACCAUCCCACGAGUAUGCGCAAUGUACUCCUCAGUACGCCCGGCGUACUCGCCUGCCGCACUAUUCUUUUAUGGACUAAACUUGACAACUUGGAGAAGAAGAAGACCUAAAUAGAUACUUCAAAAUUCCCGGAUGUUACAAUUCUCCCCCUCUUGAAUUAGAUUUCGCCCCCGAAAUUGCUCCUUACAAACAAAUAUCGAACCCAACUAACCAAGAAGCACCACCGAAGGUCCUCACAUCGUAUGACAAUCACUUUCAAAGAUACUCGAUCCCACCAAGGACUCCUAACCCGAAAGGGGCAGACCUAACUGCCGCUGCGGUACUCAAUCCGAAUCUUCAGAACUUGAAAACUCUUGUGGUCUACCUCCUUGCCAGAGCACCCUCGAAACAUCACCCUAUUAAUCUUCCACCGACUAACAGACCCUAAUAACACUCUACCAACCCUGAUUCCCUAAUCGAUCCUGAUCGCAAACUCAAAAAGAACAAAAAGGUCAUAGCCUCCUUAUUUCUUCAGGUCUUACUGCAAGAACCAUCGUCAGGAUUCAUCAGAGAGAAUGAACCCCAAACUCCAAUCUCGAGCACCAGAAGGUGAUCAUGCUUGCCUGGAAAUAUCCUCUGACCUCUAAAAACCCAAUAGAUGAACCUCAAGUUCACCCAUUCCAUAACCAGAAGGCCUCAUCGAUUUCCUAUCUUAUAACAACUAUCUCAACUCUUAGUGAUGCACAAGUCACGCCGGUCGCUUUCCCUUAAGAAAACACUACAACUCUACUGAAGAUCGAAUCACCCCUGAACUCUGUUGAUUAUUGCCUAAUAGUUAUAUGCAUCCCGCUGCACCUCCCGAACCAAGGACCUAACCUACUCAGGUCCAAUAUAUUAGAUGACAAACAAUACCCCUUACAUGGAACCCACAUCCGAUUCCAGAACCUCAUCUCGUUUAUCCAACACACUACCAGGACUCAACUCAACUCGAGAGUUUGGUCCGACCCGUAGUUGCAACCGCUAUUCCCAAUGACCCAUUCAACUCAUGACUUGUGACCUGCAACCCAUGCAUACUUCACUUACCAAUUCCUUCAGAUUGCAAUGUCCACUCUUUACUUAGAAUAUAAUGAUCCCCUCGCCCCUGGUCCAACCACCAGGCUCCCAAAAACUCAUAAUUUAGGGCUAUUCAAGCCUAAAACCCUUCUGCGUCAUGCUCUAAUCAAGAGUGCUUUAUCAUAAAAUCCUUUCGCUAACUAGUGCGUACUACGGCUCCCCAUAGCAUCACAACAACCUCCUACUGACUAGUGACUACUACGGCUCCUCGUAGCAUCACAACGCCCUCUCUCUAACUAGUGAGUACUACAGCUCCCCGUAGCAUCACAACACCCUCUCUUUGACUAGUGAGUACUACGGCUCCACGUAGCUGUUGGAUAAGGUGUCUAAGUCCAUAACUAUUUCUGGUUAGUACUUGACCCGACCCGGCAUGGUCCAUUUGGGUUGCAUGGCACCAUGCAACUGGAUAGACUAAAUGAGAGGAAUAACACUUGGAGAUUAUUAAUAUAUUAUAAGUUCUAAUAUAUUAAUAAUAUCAUUUGAUUAGUUUGAUCAAAGGAUUAAUUUGGAAUUAAUUAAGUGAUCAAAAGAUAACUAAUUAAAUAUAUGGGUUGAUUAUGUAAAUCAUUCAUUUCUUGUAUAGUGGGCUAAGAGGCUCCAUGGAUUAUCAAGUUGGGUUCUACCCAUAGGAUGCUCCAUGGAUGCUCCAUGGGAGUUACAAACCCAUGGGUCAUGGAAAUGAAGAGUCAUGACACAUUAGGGUUUACAUGGUGUAACCCUAGAUGUGCCAACACUAUAUAAGAGUCCCAUUCUCCACAAAAUUGGCUACACAAGUUGAACACUAAGAAACUAGAGGGCUUGGCCGAUUUUGAGAAGUGUGUGUUAUCUCAAGAGUCUUUCCAAGAGCAUUUGGUGUUGUGUGAAGCAUUUGAGGCAUCACACUUGGGGUGCUAGGCUCACAAGGUUUCAAGGAACACAAGCAACAACAAGGUAAGUUAUUCUAUCUAUGAUUCAAGUUAAAAUUGUUCCCCAUGUAUGCUAGAUAGGAAUAUAACCUUGGAAUUCAACUUUGCAUGAUAAUUAGACAAACAUAGAUCCAAGGUUAUUAGGGUUGCAUGUACACUUAGGAAGUGUUAGAAUGCUCAAAACCCAUCAGUGGUAUCAGAGCCUAGGCUUGUUUGUUUGUUAUUUGUGCUUAAAAGUUGAAGAAAGUCGAAAAUUCUGCUGUCUGACUGAUGGACUCGGCGAGUCCAUGGGGAGGACUCGUCGAGUUCAUGUGUAUCUUCAACCUACUCGGCGAGUAGGUUUAUGCACUCGGCGAGUAGGGUCGACAGAGUGCAGAAUUUCGACUUGAGUUGCUGGAAAUGGAUUAGAAUCAUUACCCUAAAAUGUUUUGGUACUUGAAAACUUAUUUUAGAAGGUGUAAUGUCUUUUCUAACUCAUUUACAACAACUAGUUAUCAAAAUUACAAAGAUUAAAUGUGAUUUUGAUUCUUGAAAGUGUUCAUAUUCAUAUUCUUGUUCUUAUGAUGUUUAGAUGAUCAUAGGAAUUAUUUGUAACCUAUGUGGUAGAUUAAUUCAUGAUCAUAAUGUGUUUUAAUGGAGUCCAUAACUUGUCCUCAAGUUAUGGAAAACCAAAAGUCUCUUGGAUUAAAAACCAUUAAAAGAACACAAGAGUUAGGAAAAAUGAAAAGUCCUCAUUUUAUUACUCUAUUAAACUCAUAAGUUACAAGAAAUGAAAAGUUUUGAAAGUUUACAAAACUUGCCCUCAAGUUUUGGAACAAGUAAAGUUAAGUUAAAACUUUAGUUCCAACCCCUAGAAUUUUAAAAGUUAAAAUUCAACCCUUAUACUUAUAUUAUUAUGAUUUAAUAAUUAUAUAUAUAUGUAUAAGAACAAAGUCGUCUUACCGCUAGUACGCCUCAUUCACGAAGCCGGUCUAUAAGGUGGGUAUAAGGUUGUUGCCUAUAAAAUGGUGACUUAAUGGGUGUCCACUCUCACCCACCGCUUGCUUGAUCGGUGGAGGGUCGUUAGCCGAACGGGUAAGACAAGGACUUAUUAAUUCUCAUUCAAAGUAUGAUGAAUAUUAUAAAGUAACUAAAUGUUUUAUUAAAUUCCCAAUCUUAGUUACUUUAGGAAAAAUGUGAAUAAGGUGCUAUUCCAUGAAAUUACACUUUACACUUUGAUUAAGUCGUUGGUGGAGCGUGUGUGGUUAACCGGCACACUAACUUGGACUUAACAAGGUAGGUAAAGGGUGACUUAGGGUUUAUUAUAGUAUCGAUGGAGCGUGUGUGGUUAACCGGCACAUCGAUUGAGUGAUAAACUUUAAGGGUACCAAGUGAUUUGCAUGGUUACUUCACACCUCGUUUUGUGAUCCUCGGUAUCCCAGUCACAAAACUUGGAGGGCACACUCGAGAUUGAAACAUGCCUUUGAAAAGUUCAUUGAAUCUCAAAGAAUCUAGGAAUUUCUAAGAACCAUUCAAAAACCUAAUACUAAAAUAUUGCGGUUUUCGUGGUGGAAAUUGGUGAAUCGUCAUUCACCUACCUUUCAAAUAUGAUAUAGCUUAGAUUACGGCAUACCUCUUCUAAGUUAUAUUAUAUUGUGAUUGGAUCCUAGCCUUAAUAUUACAUUUGGGUGUUUUAUUAAGGACUCUCUUAUAUCUAAACUAAUCUUGUCCUCUUUCCUUCAGAUGUCUUUCAACAAUGCUUCUGGCUCUAAUCCUAAUGGCUCCUUUACCCUUAUGAACUUGUGUGGGAAAGUCACCUUUGAUGGAUCCAACUUCAAUGAGUGGAUCAGAAACAUCAGGAUGAUUACCCGCUACGAGGACAAAGAAUAUGUCCUUGACAAGGAGCUUAAGGAGAUUGAUGAGUCCACUGCAACUCCUCAGGAGAUCGCUGAAUUUCGGGCACAUGAAAGGGAUGCUACGAAAGUGGCUUGCAUCAUGAUGGCCACGAUGACAGCGGAACUCCAAAAGUCUUAUGAGGAUUUCUACCCUUAUGACAUGCACCAAGAUUUGAUGGAAAGAUACCAUCAAAGUGCAAGACAAGAGAGGUAUGAAAUCAUCUGCUCCAUGAUAACAACCAUGAUGAAGGACGGGGAAUCCGUCACGAGCCACAUGCAGAAAAUGC
rnacentral:lncRNA from 1 species